CCUCGUCAGAAACAUGGGCUUCUUCCUCGCAUUUGUGGUAACCUCGCGCCGACGACAUUGCCGGAGUUGCAGUGCUCGCCGCUAUCUCCCAUCUGCGCCCCCGCCUGCUGCUGCAACAGGAACGGCGCGGCUAUUUCGCCAACCCACCCCUGCUCGCCCGGCACCUUCCCUACCACUACCAGCCCAGCCAUCUUCCGCCUACCUCCGGCUUACCCUACAGUGGUGACCACCUCUGAGACUAAAUCUUGGUUAGCUCUGAGGAUUUUUCUUGCUUCUCUCUCUCCCCCAGGCAUGCAAGCUCUGCACUGAGUGAAUCCGCGUGGUGGAAAUACAUUUCGGUGCUCAAAAUUAUUAGCAUUCUGAAGCUCAAGGUUGUAUGAUUGGUAGUGCGCGUCAUUCCUGGAUUAUAAGCCCAGAGAGGAUCAGAAUGAUAGAGCUCUCAACUUCCAUGAGCUAUGUUUCAGACUUCAGAGUUUUCCUACUUAAUUUUGCUGAUGUCAUGCCUGGACCAGGCUUGGCAUCUUCCAGAUGAGCUGAUGGACAAGACAAUGUUGUAGUUUCCUUUUCGCGGAAAGGGGCAUUGAUAGGAUCAGAAUGGGCGUGCUAAGCAUGGAUGAUUUGUGCAGGCCUCCGUCACUCAUGCUCUGGUGGCCUCUUAGCCGCCCUCAGGACCGGGACGCCAUCUCCGCCUUCAUCGCCGACCUGCGCUCGAUGGCAGUCCGCCUAUCGCCGCCGCCUCCUCCGCCGCCCCCGGAGCCAGAUUAGACGCCUGGCUUGCUCUCCGGCUACGGCCUCUUUUUCUUUAUUGUUUUUUGGGCUUGUUGAGCUGUGCCCUCAGCAGAACCUUUGUAUUUCUUGUUGUUUGACUUGAAUGUGUGUGUGCUGAACUAGUUCAUGUAUGUGUGCUCUGGCAGUUUGCUUUAUUUAUAAAGCGAAGCGAAAUCCUUUUUCGGUGGUAACCAGGUUAGCCUACGAACACCUAGAA